CUAAAAGAGCCUGAAAGGCACUCCUUCUCUCAGCCAGCAAUGAUGGCAGAAGUGCUGUAGAAGGGCCUGAAGGCCAAGUCACACGUUUUAGUAAAGGUCUCCCCAGUUCACCCUUGUAUGAUGACAGAAAUAUCAUUCACUUUCUUUUCUCUAAGAACAACUUGAAGCAGUUCUACAGUCUCCAGUGCUCAAGAGGCAGGCCCUAAUGGUGUUCUUGGGCCAAAAAUCUAUAAAUACAACCAGAAGACUUUCAAGAGUA